CCAACUUGUUUUCAGUUUGUUUUCUUUGCAAAUAUCCAAAUAUACAGGAAAAAAACAUUGAAAAACAAAUUGUAUACUAAUACUAUAUUUUCUAUACAAAUCUUUAAAAACAGAUCUUUGCAAAUAUCCAAAUAUACAGGAAAAAAACAUUGAAAAACAAAUUGUAUACUAAUACUAUAUUUUCUAUACAAAUCUUUAAAAACAGAAAUCAAUAGAAACAAUUCACAACCAAUUAAAGCUAUGAAAAUGGAAAAAAAUAACUCCAUAAUACAACACACAAUUACAAAAUUACAAAUUUACUAUUCACAGAAUUUGACUUGAACAUUGUUAAAGAACACCAACAUGCAAGGAAACAUCACAACUUUCAAUACCAUUUAGAAUAAGAUGCAGGUUUUGAUGAGUUUGGAAUUUGAAGAAUGAUGAAGAGAAAAAAAAUGAAAAAAGUUUGGAUUUUUGAGAAUUAGGGAUUCUGAAAUUUGUGUUUUGGGUUGAUUUGAAAUGAUUAUUGAAAAAUGGUAACCAUUUACUUGAACCGGUUUGUAAUAAUGGUU
rnacentral:lncRNA from 1 species